GCCCAGACUCCUACGGGAGGCAGCAGUGGGGAAUAUUGCACAAUGGGGGAAACCCUGAUGCAGCGACGCCGCGUGAGCGAUGAAGUAUUUCGGUAUGUAAAGCUCUAUCAGCAGGGAAGAAGAUGACGGUACCUGACUAAGAAGCCCCGGCUAACUACGUGCCAGCAGCCGCGGUAAUACGUAGGGGGCAAGCGUUAUCCGGAUUUACUGGGUGUAAAGGGAGCGUAGACGGCGAUGCAAGCCAGAUGUGAAAGCCCGGGGCUCAACCCCGGGACUGCAUUUGGAACUGUGUGGCUGGAGUGUCGGAGAGGCAGGCGGAAUUCCUAGUGUAGCGGUGAAAUGCGUAGAUAUUAGGAGGAACACCAGUGGCGAAGGCGGCCUGCUGGACGAUGACUGACGUUGAGGCUCGAGAGCGUGGGGAGCAAACAGGAUUAGAUACCCGCGUA
rnacentral:rRNA from 1 species